rnacentral:rRNA from 1 species
GAGUUUGAUCCUGGCUCAGAUUGAACGCUGGCGGCAGGCCUAACACAUGCAAGUCGAGCGGUAACAGAGAGGUGCUUGCACCUUUGCUGACGAGCGGCGGACGGGUGAGUAAUGCUUGGGAACAUGCCUUGAGGUGGGGGACAACAGUUGGAAACGACUGCUAAUACCGCAUAAUGUCUACGGACCAAAGGGGGCUUCGGCUCUCGCCUUUAGAUUGGCCCAAGUGGGAUUAGCUAGUUGGUGAGGUAAUGGCUCACCAAGGCGACGAUCCCUAGCUGGUUUGAGAGGAUGAUCAGCCACACUGGGACUGAGACACGGCCCAGACUCCUACGGGAGGCAGCAGUGGGGAAUAUUGCACAAUGGGCGCAAGCCUGAUGCAGCCAUGCCGCGUGUGUGAAGAAGGCCUUCGGGUUGUAAAGCACUUUCAGUCAGGAGGAAAGGUUAGUAGUUAAUACCUGCUAGCUGUGACGUUACUGACAGAAGAAGCACCGGCUAACUCCGUGCCAGCAGCCGCGGUAAUACGGAGGGUGCGAGCGUUAAUCGGAAUUACUGGGCGUAAAGCGUACGCAGGCGGUUUGUUAAGCGAGAUGUGAAAGCCCUGGGCUCAACCUGGGAACUGCAUUUCGAACUGGCAAACUAGAGUGUGAUAGAGGGUGGUAGAAUUUCAGGUGUAGCGGUGAAAUGCGUAGAGAUCUGAAGGAAUACCGAUGGCGAAGGCAGCCACCUGGGUCAACACUGACGCUCAUGUACGAAAGCGUGGGGAGCAAACGGGAUUAGAUACCCCGGUAGUCCACGCCGUAAACGAUGUCUACUAGAAGCUCGGGUCCUCGGACUUGUUUUUCAAAGCUAACGCAUUAAGUAGACCGCCUGGGGAGUACGGCCGCAAGGUUAAAACUCAAAUGAAUUGACGGGGGCCCGCACAAGCGGUGGAGCAUGUGGUUUAAUUCGAUGCAACGCGAAGAACCUUACCUACACUUGACAUACAGAGAACUUACCAGAGAUGGUUUGGUGCCUUCGGGAACUCUGAUACAGGUGCUGCAUGGCUGUCGUCAGCUCGUGUUGUGAGAUGUUGGGUUAAGUCC